rfam:Caulobacterales bacterium RIFCSPHIGHO2_12_FTLL_68_13 rifcsphigho2_12_scaffold_17566, whole genome shotgun sequence.
CAGUGUUCUCAGGGCGGGGUGCAAUUCCCCACCGGCGGUAAGGCGGCGACGCCAAGCCCGCGAGCGCUCCCCCGGCUUGGGGAGGUCAGCAGAUCCGGUGUGAUUCCGGGGCCGACGGUAUAGUCCGGAUGAAAGAGAACGGGA